UAUGGCCACAUCACGUUGAAACUCCUGUUUUUGUACGACCACCGAAGUUGAGCAAUGUCGAGCCUUGGCGGUACUUAGAUGGGUGUCCGUUUGGGAAUACCAGGUGCUGUAAG